AAUAAUCUUGUUUUCCCUUUAAGUUUAUUUUCCUUAUUGUUUUAAGCAUAAACUCACUUUAUUUGAAUUUUUUUCAGUGAACAAGACAUCAUAUCGUAAGUCAUGUUGCUUCUCAAGUGAAUGCAUCUUGAUUUAAGAACUUUUUGAUAUUUUUAAUGGAAAACAACAAAAAUACUGAGUAAUAUUUUUGCAGUGCACAUUCUCAAUAGUUCAUGCCAGCUGUACCUCACUGUCCCGACGAGCUGGUCUCACACAAACACACUCGGGCCAGUGCACUUCCUGUGACCUCCAACAUCUGAAACAUAGUUUUCCGCCCAAAGGUUUGGAUAUAAUGUAAGAUACGUUUCAGUCGAGCCUCAGAGACCACCGACUGGUGGGGUGGGACGGGUUUUCACGGGGAAUCGUCAGCAUGCAUAUGUUUUAAACUGAUCAGUGAUGCAGUCGUGGUCUCGGGUGUCCGUACUUGUGUUCUCGUUCCUCAUCCAUCAGUCUGCCUGUGUUUCCUCCCACACGAGAGCCAUGUGUCUCUGCAAACUUCCACCGACCGAAUGAAUCGACACGAAGUCUGAUCCUGUGGAGAAUGACUGUAUGUUUAUCUUCAGCGGCGGGACACUUUAUGUUCAGGUCAUUUUAUAAUUAUUAAGACACAUUUAAGCAGGGAGUUUAAAAUCAAUGCACUUAAAAUUUAAUUAUGACAUACUGGAGAUCAGAUGAGAAUCUGUUUUUAGUGUGCUUUAAUUGUUUAUUUCGUAUCCCAUGAGCACUUGGUCUACUUUGCUGUAUUUUAAUGAUUUUGAUACUUAUUUGCUCUAUUUACUGCAGGAGAUUCACUGAAGUUUUAUUUCAUAUUAAAAGGCCAGAAACACACUCUACGCAAGUAUGUUUUCUGACUACUUGACAUCUAUCUCUGAAAUGUGUCUUGAGAAAUUAGGCCUGUCUCUGUGACAAAACCAGAGUCUGCAGACAGUAAGAUUCUGAUUAAGAAGUGAUUUUGCAUGUUCAGGUUUACUGACAUUGUUCUGGAGGACAGUCCAGUGAAAGUGAAGUUAGCACAAUUUUGUCAUUAGCAAAAUGCCUAAAUUCACUUAAAGUUGCAGUUCUUAAGGGGGCGAUAGAGUUUCCUUCACUGCAAGAAAAAAAGUUUUUACUUGUUUUCCAGUACAAAUAUCAAAAAAUAAUUAAAUCAAUAUAUAUUUAAUUAGGUUCAUGCUUAUAAUUAAGUGAGUUUAUGCUUGAAACAAGAAAAAAAAUGUCAGUAGAGUAAAACAAUCUCAAUUCAAAGGGAAAACUUUUUUUUUUACCCCUCUAAUUGAUAUUUUUACUUGUUUUUAAGCAUAAAAUCACUUUAUUUUGAUUCAUGUUUCAGCAAACAAUACUUAAUAUCUUGUGUAUUUUUUAAGCAAAUGUAUCUUGAUUUAAGAAUGCCUAAAUAUUUGUACUGCUGGGAAAAAAAUUGCAGUGUUUAUAUCAGCGAUUCUCACCCUAAAAUUUCCCCCAAUAUAAGAUGUUUCUUCCUGUAUAUUCAUUUUUCUUGUUUAUCUUGUUUUUACUCUUGUGCCAUUUAAUCAGACACAAUAUUAAGGUUGUUAGCUAUAAAUGACUAACUAAGCUUAGCUAAAUUUAGUUGAACUAACUUGCUGAUUUCUGUCAUAACUGACCCGUCUGUAUUUUGCAUGUGUACUGCGUUCUGACACUUUUCUCUCGUGUCGAUGGAAACACAUACUUGCGUAGAGUCUGUUUCAGGUCCAGCACUGAAUAACACUAAAUCAGAAGCAGAUGUUCGUUCGCAAAACGCAAUAGAAAUCCGAAAGCAAAACAAACACUGUUUUUCUUGUGCAACCCUCUCACGAAGCGUUGAAAUCACAGAGUGCGUCAAAGCUCUGCUGAAAAGAUGUGUUCGAUCAGUCCAGAUGUGUUGUUGCUGCUGUCGAUCGAUUGAAAUGCUGUUUUUUUAAUUCAUGACUGUAUCAUGUUUUAUACUGGACCCUUGCAGCUCCUCAGUACCACACCAGAAAAAUACACGCAGCACUUAGAAAAUCGUGAAUUCUUCUGCAUUUGUCUUUGCCUUCGUGUCUCGUUGAGGUUGUUAGAAAACACUUGCACAUGUCUUAAGAGUACUGAGGAUCGGAUCUUAAAGCAUAUGUAAAUAUAUGUAUAAAUAUUACACAUUUACUGAAAGGGAUAUAUCUUAGGUCCUUGACACUAGCGUGCUGAUGAUAUUUAAUAGAGUGUACAGUUAUAUUAACCAAACACAUAGAGCCAGAGGGGGUCUGGCAAGCUUGCCCAUGUUCUAGAAACUUCUCUCAGGGUAGACUUGCUUCUCUAAGCUUUACAAAACCUGUCAGGUCACAGCACUGGUCAGCGUUUACUGUUCCUAACCGCCGUUUGCUUUUCUCUCAGUGUUCUCGACGAAGUGUAAAUCUGUCGGAUGGUGCGGUUUGUAUAUCUGAUCAAUUGGAAAUAAGAAUCUCAUGUACUAGAAUUCAUACUCUUGUGAUGAUUAGUAAGCAACAAAAGGUCCAGAAUAUCUGAAGGCAUCUCAUCUGAACGCUUGUGACUGACGCCGUCAGAAGCCUGUACUGCUGAUUCAAGUGAAACACCGACCACUACUUGUUUUUUUAUCUCCUAUGUUACUGUUCAUGUAAUAAAAAUCUCUGAUGACAACAGAUUUUUAGCCAUUCUAAACUGCUUUCGUUUACUGUAUGCUUCCUUUUUAACGUUGGAGUUUUGCAUGUCUUUUUUAUUUUUUAUUUGUGAGGACUGAGAAUGUUUGCGUUUCUUGUAUUUUUGUUCAAGAAAUUAACACAGUUUCACUUCCUGAAGGUUUUAAUGGAGGAUGCUGUGUAUUUUCCACAAAUAUGGUACACUUUGACUUUUCUUAGAGGUGCAAAUGCAUAGUUUUGUGCGAGAAUUAUUAUGUGAGAAAUCAUCUCAUAGAAAAUUAGAUCGUUAAAACAUUUCAAAUCACCUCAGAGAUCCUGACAUUCAAACUCAUGCAAAAUGUCAAAAAUGACUGAUGCAAGUUUACUAUUGACAUCUGUUGGACUGAAAAACUCAUUUUAAUAACUAAAAAUAAUCUUUGCUGUUUCCCACCCAUUACCAAAUUAUUUUCCCUAUUAAAAAAAAAAAAUUGUUUCAUUUUUUUAUUUUAUUUUUUAGCUAUUUUGUUGUGCAUUUUUUUGGCUUUUUUUUUUUUUUUUUGUUUUUUGCCUGUAUAGGUGUUUAUUCCAGUUUUAGUUUAUUUUAGUACAUCAAGUUGAACUAAAUUAAAUUAGGUUUCUGCCACUUGAGAAGGUUUUUUUUUCAGUUAGUUUUUAUUUUAUUUCAAAUAAUGAAUUUUGUUUUUAAAUGCAUUAAGUUUUAGAUUAACUUUAAUAACACUGGCCCCAGAAAACACUUACGUAUAAAAUAAAUGACCUCCUGAAGAUGAUUAUCAACAUUUUGUAAAGGUGAAGCGCCUCCUUUCACAAACCACUUGCUGAAAAGGAAAAAAGCUUGAUUUCCUCCAGCGUUUCAGGCUGUUUUGUACCUUAUUUGUGGAAAGUGGCAUUCCAGUCUAAUAAAAUUAAAUGUCAUAAGUAACUCGGCCAAAACGAGAUCACUUUAAUGUCUCUGGUGCUUGAGUGUGUUUGUAUUUGAAUUAUCCCAGAGCCCUCAGAAACACUGGCUUUUUUGUUUAUUGGAAUAUUAGUAAUUUAACAGCCUCACUGAAGAAUUAAAAAACUGUCAGACUUGAAAACUUAAUUGUCGGUUUUGCUUAUGAUUUAGUGUGUGUGUUUGUGUUUGGAGUGUGUGUAAAUGAGGCUCUGUGAUGAUUACAAGACUGGAAUUUAAUACAAGCAGGAGGCAAAACUCUUUGGUUGUUCCUCUUUUGCGCUGAAGUCUGGGUAGGUAAUUUUUUUCUGUAACGUUCUGGUGUGUUUGCGCACAUUUCCCAUGACCUUGUGGCAGAGCACUUAAAGCUUUGGUUGUUAAAGAGAGGACAAAUAAAUGUCAAACGUCAUGUGUCUUUUAAUCACAUACAGUAUGUACCGAGUCAUUACCGAAUACAGUACAUCAUUGUAUAAA
ensembl:lncRNA